UGACUAGCUGGACCGUGGUAGUAGCGAGGAACGUGACAUUUCCGAGUUACCUUUGUAUCCCAUAUCUUAUUAGCAGGACGGGUAGGUUUAUAGGUGCGGGUCGAACAUCCUCUGUGUUGUCUAGAUUCCGUGAGCCUCCCCAAUAGAACAGUAGAUCAUCCUUACCAAAGUUAGAAUGAGACUACGGUUGCAGUCUUCUCUAUACAUCACUCACAUCGAGAAACAUUCUUUGUAGCCUAAAGGGAUAGUAGCAAUAGAUUUGGUUAGUCAGAUGCACCCUUUCUCCCAGUGGUAAAAAUAUAAAUACGAUACUCUGGAAAACCUCCCGGGUGAAAUGCUCACCGAUAUCCGUGUGCUUGCGGAUCAUUUCCUGAUUGCGUUACCAAAUAUCAACAAUCCCCAGCGGGAUGGAGACAGGUCUUGCAGAAACCGUCAUAGAAGAUGUCAUCUGCAAUAGGUGGGAAUAAACCCUGAGUACGAUAAUGUACUCAGCUAGACUUACCCGUCUAGAAAAACAUAAAAGACACCAAGGAUCAUGCAAGGCUAAGAUAUAAAAGUAGAGCUAGUUGACUCGACAUUUUUGCCAAAAGCCUUUAUUAAGACUAACACAAUGUAAGAGCAUCAUAUUUAUUUAUCAUCAGCCU
rnacentral:lncRNA from 1 species